AACACAUGCAAGUCGAGCGGACCUUUCGGGGUCAGCGGCGGACGGGUGAGUAACGCGUGGGAACGUGCCUUCCGGUUCGGAAUAACCCUGGGAAACUAGGGCUAAUACCGGAUACGCCCUUAUGGGGAAAGGUUUACUGCCGGAAGAUCGGCCCGCGUCUGAUUAGCUAGUUGGUGGGGUAACGGCCUACCAAGGCGACGAUCAGUAGCUGGUCUGAGAGGAUGAUCAGCCACACUGGGACUGAGACACGGCCCAGACUCCUACGGGAGGCAGCAGUGGGGAAUAUUGGACAAUGGGCGCAAGCCUGAUCCAGCCAUGCCGCGUGAGUGAUGAAGGCCUUAGGGUUGUAAAGCUCUUUUAUCCGGGACGAUAAUGACGGUACCGGAGGAAUAAGCCCCGGCUAACUUCGUGCCAGCAGCCGCGGUAAUACGAAGGGGGCUAGCGUUGCUCGGAAUCACUGGGCGUAAAGGGCGCGUAGGCGGCGUUUUAAGUCGGGGGUGAAAGCCUGUGGCUCAACCACAGAAUGGCCCUCGAUACUGGGACGCUUGAGUAUGGUAGAGGUUGGUGGAACUGCGAGUGUAGAGGUGAAAUUCGUAGAUAUUCGCAAGAACACCGGUGGCGAAGGCGGCCAACUGGA
rnacentral:rRNA from 1 species